CGCACAUUGCGCCUAUUAGUAUUCUAGUAGGCAUGCCUGUUCGAGCGUCAUUUCACCCCUCAAGCUUCAGUGCUUGGUGUUGAGGCCUUACCCGAACCCCCCCGGGGGCGGUAAGCUUCUAAAUCUAGUGGCAAGAUCAGAACAACUCUGAGCGUAGUAAAUCUAUUAUCUCGCUUCGGCCAGUUGCCCUGGUGUUCGCCAUCAAGCCUAUACAUUUUGAAUAGUUGACCUCGGAUCAGGUAGGAAUACCCGCUGAACUUAA
rnacentral:misc_RNA from 1 species